CUCUCCCGCUCCGGGCUCGGGUUUCUAGGACUGCCUGGAGAAGUGUGUCUUGUGCACAGCUCUGGAAUGCAUUUGGCAGGCUGACGAGCAGCGAGGGGCAGCAUCCUGGAGGGAGGAGGGGUGCAGCUCGCCCGCGCGCCGCCGGCAGGUUUCCUCCCGGCCUGGAAGACCUCCGGCACCCGCCACUCGGCCUCCCGGCGCGCUAACCUUGCCCAGCCAGCAGACCUGCUUAGAGCAUCCAAUCGCAUGCGGGGCCUGCUUAGGGUCAGAGAGUUUAUUCCUUCACCAUAGGUUCCAGAGAAAGCUAUCCCCAGAUGCAAGUGAUUGCUAGGAAGUAGAAAAGGGAGCCCUACGUUGUGGAAGGAAGACAACAGUAUAGGACCAUCAGCAGGACCGGACAGAGAGGGGCACCCCUGGCUGUCCUGGAACUUGUAGACCAGGCUGGCCUUGAACUCAGAAAUCCGCCUGCCUCUGACUCCCGAGUGCUGAGAUUAAAGGUGUGCACCACCACACCCGACAAGGAAGCCUGUUUUAAGAAGUGAUUCCAUGGAGGAGUUCUGCGGCGGCUCAGGGCUUGACUAAACAGUGGACCUCAGGGUCCCAUUUCUCUCAGUAGACAAGAGAGGCUAAACCAGGCUGCAGGUGACAGGAAGAAUUGAAUAAACUGAAAGCAAAGGGCAGCCUUCUAAUUACGCUUCGUGGCUAUGUGGACAACCUGGAGAAGUCUGGAAACAAGCCAGAAGCCCGAAGCCAGCAGUAGAGCUCUGACUGGCUUGUAUGCCUAGAAAGGAAGGGCUCUUCUUUCGCCUCACGGGCACAAAUGGGACCCACGAGCGCCGAUUUCAGACUAUUCUGAUCCCUUCAAAAAGAAAGUUAGGAGUCCAGGCUACUGUGAGUGAAUUUGAUUCUAAUUGUUUCAGAGAAUAUGGAAUAAAAUAUCUCAUUUGCAGUUGUU
rnacentral:lncRNA from 1 species